GGUUCGAUCCCAGUUGGUAGAGCAGUUGACUUUUAAUCAAUUGGUCGCAGGUUCGAAUCCUGCACGACCCACCA
rnacentral:tRNA from 1 species